rnacentral:rRNA from 1 species
AUUGAACGCUGGCGGCAUGCCUUACACAUGCAAGUCGAACGGCAGCGCGGGAGCAAUCCUGGCGGCGAGUGGCGAACGGGUGAGUAAUACAUCGGAACGUGCCCAAUCGUGGGGGAUAACGCAGCGAAAGCUGUGCUAAUACCGCAUACGAUCUACGGAUGAAAGCAGGGGAUCGCAAGACCUUGCGCGAAUGGAGCGGCCGAUGGCAGAUUAGGUAGUUGGUGAGGUAAAGGCUCACCAAGCCUUCGAUCUGUAGCUGGUCUGAGAGGACGACCAGCCACACUGGGACUGAGACACGGCCCAGACUCCUACGGGAGGCAGCAGUGGGGAAUUUUGGACAAUGGGCGAAAGCCUGAUCCAGCCAUGCCGCGUGCAGGAUGAAGGCCUUCGGGUUGUAAACUGCUUUUGUACGGAACGAAAAGGUUCUUUCUAAUAAAGAGAGCUC